GCGAUUUCGCUCGCCGCUCUGAGCGGCGCUCCCCCCAACUCUGGUCAACGUCACGUCAACGUCACAGUUUAUUAUUCCCCGGUUAAAAAUGAAUGCUGUUAUCAACAGUAAUUCAGUUUUCGCUAUGGUCGUAGUUACACCUUGUUCGAAUUUCGUUCAUGUGAAAGUGGUAAUAAGCUAGUCGAGUUUCAUAUGAAUUUAGUGUGUAAAUCCUAAAUCGUUCGGUGUAACCCAAAAAAUUAUUUAAGAAAUAGCCGAUCACUGACGCAUUUCCCGGCAUUUCCCUUGUCAUUUUGUAAGUCAGCCUGGUCAAAGCGACAAACAAAAAAGUUACCCAUUCCUUUUCUCCUUGCCCAAGGGUUAUAUAGCCAAACAGAAGGUCUGAUAAUCUCAGUUUCUUGCUUGAUUUGGCAGCAGCCAGCCAGCCACGCAUUGAUUGCACUCGUUAGUUGCCAGGGCUGUUGUUUGAACUUAUUUCAAGAUACGUGUGCCACGAAGUGAAAAUAGUGAUUUAGCACGACUUCCUCAUGAAAAGAGAUGAAGCUAAAUUUAAUUGUGAUGUCCUCAAAACGGGAGCUGUGGGAUUGUCACCGUGCGCCACACGAUCCAGCCGCCGAAAUGAAGCAGAUGACGAAAUGACAUGGCAUCUAUAUUUCUCAGAUAUAAGUACACUAGCCCGCGAAUUUUCCGCUUGUAAUUGGCAAGUGACUAUAUUACUAAUAAAUCAUCAGUGAACCAAUUCGCCGUUCACGAAAAAUACAACAUCGUAACUCAGGAUAACGAUGUCGCCCUGCUGAUAAACCCAAACACUGACUAUUCCGUCCCUGCCAGAUGCAUUUAGAAGACAGCGACCGACUAGAGGUAAACAUCCAGGUGAGUCAGACGAGACGCA